UUGAACGCUGGCGGCAGGCCUCACACAUGCAAGUCGAACGGUAACAGGAAGCAGCUUGCUGCUUCGCUGACGAGUGGCGGACGGGUGAGUAAUGUCUGGGAAACUGCCUGAUGGAGGGGGAUAACUACUGGAAACGGUAGCUAAUACCGCAUAACGUCGCAAGACCAAAGAGGGGGACCUUAGGGCCUCUUGCCAUCGGAUGUGCCCAGAUGGGAUUAGCUAGUAGGUGGGGUAACGGCUCACCUAGGCGACGAUCCCUAGCUGGUCUGAGAGGAUGACCAGCCACACUGGAACUGAGACACGGUCCAGACUCCUACGGGAGGCAGCAGUGGGGAAUAUUGCACAAUGGGCGCAAGCCUGAUGCAGCCAUGCCGCGUGUAUGAAGAAGGCCUUCGGGUUGUAAAGUACUUUCAGCGGGGAGGAAGGGAGUAAAGUUAAUACCUUUGCUCAUUGACGUUACCCGCAGAAGAAGCACCGGCUAACUCCGUG
rnacentral:rRNA from 1 species